AAGUCGUAACAAGGUCUCCGUUGGUGAACCAGCGGAGGGAUCAUUACAGAGUCGUAAAAAACUCCCAAACCCAUGUGAACUUACCAUUGUUGCCUCGGCGGACCUACCCUGUAGCUAGCUACCCGGUAGCCCGUCGGUGGACCAUUAAACUCUUGUUAUCUAUGGAUAUCUGAGCGUCUUAUUUAAUAAGUUAAAACUUUCAACAACGGAUCUCUUGGUUCUG
rnacentral:misc_RNA from 1 species